rnacentral:rRNA from 1 species
AUAUCAUAAGCGGAGGAAAAGAAAAUAACAAUGAUACCCUUAGUAGCGGCGAGCGAAGUGGGUAAAGCUCAAGUUUAAAACCUGUUUGUCCUAGACAAACCGGAUUGUAAACUAAGGACGUGCUAUCCAGGCUCUUUGGACCUUCAAGUCCUUUGGAAUAAGGCUUCACAGAGGGUGACAAUCCCGUAGAGGGUCUUGAAAGAGUCUAUUGCGAUGCAUGCUCCAAGAGUCAGGUUGUUUGGGAAUGCAGCCUAAAGUGGGAGGUAAAUCCCUCCUAAAGCUAAAUAUUGGCGAGAGACCGAUAGCAAACAAGUACCGUGAGGGAAAGUUGAAAAGGACUUUGAAAAGAGAGUCAAAAGUACGUGAAAUUGCUUAAAGGGAAGCGUUUGGAGCUAGUUUGGCUAGUCUGUUAUCAGCCUGAGCUUCGGCUUUGGUGUACUAUCAGGCUAUUUGCCGGCCAACUUUCAGGAUUGGAAGGAAAGCUUAGUGCUUUGGAGUCUAAAGAGACCUUUGCGGAAGCCUCUGGUGGAGCGUUGGUCUGCCUUGGCCCUUCUGAACCUAUAGUUGGCUUAAUGGCUCUAAACGGCCCGUCUUGAAACACGGACCAAGGAGUCCACCACUGUUGCGAGUGUUUGGGUGGCAAACCCAUACGCGAAAUGAAAGUGAAAGCUAUGAAAUCGCAAGAUGGCAAUAGCAUCCGGCCUUUAGGACUGAGAUAAAGCAAUAGUGAUGGGACCCGAAAGAUGGUGAACUAUGCUUGAGUAGAGUGAAGCCAGAAAGUUUCUGGUGGAAGCUCGUAACGGUUCUGACGUGCAAAUCGAUCGUCGGAACUUGGAGCAUAGGGCGAAAGACUAAUCG